AUGGCGGGCGGAGGGAGAAGAGAGGGGGGGGGGAAGAAAGGAGAGGGGGGGCGAGACAAAAGGCUCGGGCUGCGGAGGGGCGCGGGGCCGCCGCCGAGCGCUGCGAGCUCCGCCCGGGCCCGGCCGCCACGAGGCGCUGCGGCCGCCGCGGGAAGGGGCGUGCGCGGCGCGGCUGCAGCGAGCCGGGAGGGACGGGGCUCCGGCGGCUGCGGCUCCGGGCUGCCGGCUCCCGUCCGUCCCUGUGUGUUUGGAGCGGAGGAAAGAUGGCAGCGGCUGCACUUCCUCUUGCACUUUCACCCCUGGGGGGAGGAGAAGGAGGGGGCGAUACCACCCCCCCUACAAAAAUCCAGCGGGGGCCCCCCGGCUGCUGCUCCCCCGCCGAGCGCCGCCGCCGCCGGCUCCGGCCCGGGCCCCGCCCGCCCCGCCGCACCCUCACCGCCGGCGCCGCAAACUUUCCGCUCUUCUUUUGCUCCAGAAGCCCCCCACCCUUUUCAUAGAGCCCCCCCCCCCCCCGCCCCUCCAGCCGCUCGGGCUCCCCCCUGCCCCCCCGCUUCCUGCCCCCCUCCCUCCCCGCAUCCGCCAAUGCUCGAGCAGCCCGAGCCAGCAGGCCGGCCCCCACCCCGCCCGCCCGCGGGGGCUGGGGGCUGCAGCCCCCCCGUUCCCCCAGCACCGCUCCUCCAAUGCCGAGCCGGCAGCCGGGGGCCCCCCCCAUGGCACAGGGGGGUGGGGGGGCUGCGCUCACCCCCUCCCCCAAAUAUCCGGGCUGCAGCUCGCCCCCCCCCCCCCCCCCCCCCCCCGCCGAGGGGGGGGGGGGGGGGGGCGAGAAGGGGGGGGGGGUGGCAGGCAGCCCCCCCCCCCCCUCCCCAGGCGCGGAGCGGCCAAUGCAAACCCUCCCGGAGCUGCAGAGGCGCCGAGCAGCCCCCACCUCCUCUCCCCGCCCGAGGAGAGCCGAUCCCCGAGGGGCCGGGGGCUGCGGCCUCCCCCCGCCCUUUCAUUGCAUUCUUCACCCCCUCCCCAGCAACUCUCAGCCUGACCAAAAAAGCCAGGCGUUGCGCUUUUUUUGGGGGGUACCCCCUUUCCCUUCACUCCCUUCUCCCCCGGUGCAGCGAUGCCCCCCGGCAGGAGCGGCUGGGAGCAGCGGUCCCCGCGGGCAGGGGGCUGCGGGAGACGCAGCCUCGAGCGCUGCCUCCAUGUUGGGGGAACGGCCUCCCCGCGGGGCCUCCGCUGCCCCGCCGUUCCCACGGCCGCGCUGCCAGCCUGCCCCGGGGAAACCGCCCCGAGAGGCAGGGCUGCGGGCUGCUGCCCGGGGCUGCCUGCACCGGCCCGGUGCUGAACCUCCCCUGGGUGCUCACGGGCUCGGUAUGA
rnacentral:lncRNA from 1 species